GUUUUAGGCCAUUGAACUUCUAAGUCUUUGGGAAAACCUAGGGGACUUCUUCCUAAAGAAAUUCUCUCGAAAGGGAAAUGUUUCCUCACUGCUUUUAGAUUUAGAUUUACACUAUAUGAAACAAAAAUUCUUUGCAUUCUUUCUUUAUUCAGCUAUUGUAUUUUUGUACAUCCAUCUUAUCAUUCUCAUUUUCCAUGAUAACCUUGUGCAUAUGCUUUGUUUUUACUGCUCUAUGCGUGAUGCUAUUUAUCAUAGCUUGUGGAAUUAUGAUCUA
rnacentral:misc_RNA from 1 species